AACCCCGGGCCGCUGAAGCGAAGCAUGAAACCUAACCGCUGCACCACUGGCCUGGCCCCAAGUAAACGUCAUUGUUGAAAACAGAUUAGGAGUUAUAUUAAGCCUAGCUCCAAGAGACAGCAAACUAAAUUUAAGAGAAGUAGUCAAGAGUUCAGAAAGUCUCCAGUAAUGGAAAGAGCUUCAGAAGUUUGUUGAGAGCAUGCAUCAAACGGCUGUGAUCUCUGUCUUACAUCUGUUACCAUCCGGAGAAGCCUAAAUCGCUCUGCUGCCCGAAGUUAAAGGCUAUGAUCCCAGAGCCAGGUAUUGUCAUCAAUAAGCCAAAAAAGUUUGGGUGAAUUUAAUUUAAACACAAAGGAAAAUCAGAGUUAAAAUAAGAAAAUAUGAAGAUCCCUUCAAAAGAAUCAUCAAGGAAAACUCCCAGACAGGACAGUUCCAUCAACACUGACCUGGAAUGCAGACAAUAUGAGAAACAACUGAAACAGACCCUCAACAGACUUGUAGCAUGAGAAAGAAGGAAACUCGUUUUAUGGUUUUUUAUUACUGUAACAUGACCUAGCCUGUCCUGACUGGACCCCAACUAAUACAAUAAAUCUUGUUCUUUGAACAGUUUCUUUUUUUUAACUAAAAUGUAUUGUUUAGAUAGUGGGAGUUGUAUCAGUUUACACUUUGUGAGGAUGCGAAAGUUAAAUAAUUCCACGUUUCCAGUUUUAUUCCAAUACUAUUUG
rnacentral:lncRNA from 1 species